AGAGUUUGAUCCUGGCUCAGGAUGAACGCUAGCUACAGGCUUAACACAUGCAAGUCGAGGGGCAGCAUUUUAGUUUGCUUGCAAACUGAAGAUGGCGACCGGCGCACGGGUGAGUAACACGUAUCCAACCUGCCGAUAACUCCGGAAUAGCCUUUCGAAAGAAAGAUUAAUACCGGAUGGCAUACGAAUAUCGCAUGAUAUUUUUAUUAAAGAAUUUCGGUUAUCGAUGGGGAUGCGUUCCAUUAGUUUGUUGGCGGGGUAACGGCCCACCAAGACUACGAUGGAUAGGGGUUCUGAGAGGAAGGUCCCCCACAUUGGAACUGAGACACGGUCCAAACUCCUACGGGAGGCAGCAGUGAGGAAUAUUGGUCAAUGGGCGAGAGCCUGAACCAGCCAAGUAGCGUGAAGGAUGAAGGCUCUAUGGGUCGUAAACUUCUUUUAUAUGGGAAUAAAGUUUUCCACGUGUGGAAUUUUGUAUGUACCAUAUGAAUAAGGAUCGGCUAACUCCGUGCCAGCAGCCGCGGUAAUACGGAGGAUCCGAGCGUUAUCCGGAUUUAUUGGGUUUAAAGGGAGCGUAGGUGGAUUGUUAAGUCAGUUGUGAAAGUUUGCGGCUCAACCGUAAAAUUGCAGUUGAAACUGGGAGUCUUGAGUACAGUAGAGGUGGGCGGAAUUCGUGGUGUAGCGGUGAAAUGCUUAGAUAUCACGAAGAACUCCGAUUGCGAAGGCAGCUCACUAGACUGUCACUGACACUGAUGCUCGAAAGUGUGGGUAUCAAACAGGAUUAGAUACCCUGGUAGUCCACACAGUAAACGAUGAAUACUCGCUGUUUGCGAUAUACAGUAAGCGGCCAAGCGAAAGCAUUAAGUAUUCCACCUGGGGAGUACGCCGGCAACGGUGAAACUCAAAGGAAUUGACGGGGGCCCGCACAAGCGGAGGAACAUGUGGUUUAAUUCGAUGAUACGCGAGGAACCUUACCCGGGCUUAAAUUGCAACAGAAUAUAUUGGAAACAGUAUAGCCGUAAGGCUGUUGUGAAGGUGCUGCAUGGUUGUCGUCAGCUCGUGCCGUGAGGUGUCGGCUUAAGUGCCAUAACGAGCGCAACCCUUAUCUUUAGUUACUAACAGGUCAUGCUGAGGACUCUAGAGAGACUGCCGUCGUAAGAUGUGAGGAAGGUGGGGAUGACGUCAAAUCAGCACGGCCCUUACGUCCGGGGCUACACACGUGUUACAAUGGGGGGUACAGAAGGCGGCUACCUGGUGACAGGAUGCUAAUCCCAAAAACCUCUCUCAGUUCGGAUCGAAGUCUGCAACCCGACUUCGUGAAGCUGGAUUCGCUAGUAAUCGCGCAUCAGCCAUGGCGCGGUGAAUACGUUCCCGGGCCUUGUACACACCGCCCGUCAAGCCAUGAAAGCCGGGGGUACCUGAAGUACGUAACCGCAAGGAGCGUCCUAGGGUAAAACUGGUAAUUGGGGCUAAGUCGUAACAAGGUAGCC
rnacentral:rRNA from 1 species